rnacentral:rRNA from 1 species
GUUUGAUCCUGGCUCAGGAUGAACGCUGGCGGCGUGCCUAAUACAUGCAAGUCGAGCGAACGGACGAGAAGCUUGCUUCUCUGAAAUUAGCGGCGGACGGGUGAGUAACACGUGGAUAACCUACCUAUAAGACUGGGAUAACUUCGGGAAACCGGAGCUAAUACCGGAUAAUAUUUUGAACCGCAUGGUUCAAAAGUGAAAGACGGUCUUGCUGUCACUUAUAGAUGGAUCCGCGCUGCAUUAGCUAGUUGGUAAGGUAACGGCUUACCAAGGCAACGAUGCAUAGCCGACCUGAGAGGGUGAUCGGCCACACUGGAACUGAGACACGGUCCAGACUCCUACGGGAGGCAGCAGUAGGGAAUCUUCCGCAAUGGGCGAAAGCCUGACGGAGCAACGCCGCGUGAGUGAUGAAGGUCUUCGGAUCGUAAAACUCUGUUAUUAGGGAAGAACAUAUGUGUAAGUAACUGUGCACAUCUUGACGGUACCUAAUCAGAAAGCCACGGCUAACUACGUGCCAACAGCCGCGGUAAUACGUAGGUGGCAAGCGUUAUCCGGAAUUAUUGGGCGUAAAGCGCGCGUAGGCGGUUUUUUAAGUCUGAUGUGAAAGCCCACGGCUCAACCGUGGAGGGUCAUUGGAAACUGGAAAACUUGAGUGCAGAAGAGGAAAGUGGAAUUUCCAUGUGUAGCGGUGAAAUGCGCAGAGAUAUGGAGGAACACCCAGUGGCGAAAGGCGACUUUUCUGGUCUGUAACCUGACGCUGAUGUUGCGAAAGC